GGGAGUAGCACCAGUUUCAGUUAACCAGCUGAGUGAACUUAUAUAGAGCGUUGCUAUGGACAACAGCAAAUAUAUAUAAAUAUCAAACUGUUGAAUGCUGUGACUGACCAAUUAGAAUUAAGUUUUCCAGAGUGGUGUGUUAACAUGUAAACUCCUAAACAUUAAAACAAUAUAAUAUUAAGUUCAAGGAGAGUCUGAUGUAUUGUAAUUAGUUCCAAGCUUAUUACCAACAAAAUAUUCAUAUAAGGAAAACACCAGUGGGAAUAAUAUACACACAAAAAAAAUGUAGUUCUGCAGCAGUUCUUUGGGGUGGCAAAAGCACUAUAGCACCGCUGCCAUACAAAGAACACAUUAAACCCCUGUAGAGUUCUUUAAAUUUUCUUAGGUUAGUUGGAGAAAAAGGAUUCAAAACCAACAUUAAAAAUCUGUGUAUUUCCUGAAGAUAACGUGGUUCUCAGCCUUAUAAGGAAAUAUUCCAGGGUCCCCACAUGAGACUUUUUGACCUCAGAAAAGCACAAAAGGAAUUCAAAACAGUGUUUGCCAUUGUAGUAAAUUCCCAUUCAUAGCAGAGUGGAGUGAUAUAUCUAAAAUCUAAGGAGGAGAAUGGGGUUCCUCUUAUGGUUCUACAUAGCACCAUUUGACAAAGGUGCUGUAUGGCACCUUUAAAGAUAGAUGCUAUAUACUACUUAAAGGGUCAUAUGACCUUGAUAAAAAGAAAAUUAUUUUGUGUAUUUGGUGUAAUGCAAUGUGUUUAUGUAGUUUAAGGUUCAAAAACACAUUAUUUUCCACAUAAUGUACAUUAUUGUUGCUCCUCUAUGCCCCGCCUUCUGAAAUGCGUAGAUUUUUACAAAACUCAUCACUCUGAAAAGCGAGGUGUGCUCUGAUUGGCCAGCUAUACAGUGCGUUGUACACCCGGAUCAGGAAACUUUCCUCCGUAAACUGAGCUGCACACACUCGAAUAUUUGCGAUGAACUGUUCCGGAACAGUGUUGUAAAUACAACUUAACCACUGAUUUCUAGUCGUGUCCUCUUUUGGAAGGCAAAACAAAGUAGUUUGGC
ensembl:lncRNA